UACCUGAUCUUUCACUUUCGCACGAAAACGGUACCUGAUCUUUAUUUUAUAUCGUUUAUGGUACCUCGUCACUAAAAUACCCCCUUUCCAAUUCAGAAUGACAUCCAUGUCCCAGAGGGUUGUCAAGUACUUACGAAAGUUACUCGGGUGAAGGAAGAAACGGGUGUCGUUGGCUUAGAGUUGAGUACGAAAAUUGUUGGUGUCGCCAAAGAGCAAGUCUCAAAAUAGUGGCUGACGCACGACGAGAAUCUUACGGUAUGUUGUACUUCGUUUGCGAGAAGAAAGGUAAGGUUGGGGGUUGUCAUUUUUUUCAAUGGUGUUAUCCAAAGUCGAUGGACAAGGAUUCUGUUGGGCAGAUUCGUCGAGAAGACGUUGACGAAGUUGAAUCACAAAGUUGUGAAGAUCGAAAGUGUGGCCGGACAGUGGGAGCUGGAUGUAAAGGGAAAGAAUUUUUUCUUGUAUGUGUUGCUUGUUGUUCUUUAGUUGUUGCAAUUGCUGCUAUGGUUAUUAGUUUGGUAAAUUAGAUCCGUCUAUUGGAAGCUUAGUGUAAUACAAUUAUGUUCAGUUGAUUUGGGGAAGACAACUACAUUUGUUAUUAUUUUGGUACUACAUUUGUUAUUAUUUUGGUAGUAAUGGUGUUAUUAUUUAGUACUAUUGGUUUUGGUACUGCAGUUGUUAUUAUUUUGGCACUACAUUUGUUAUUAUUUUGGUAAUAGUAAACUACGACUAAUUAUUUUGA